UGUGUAUAUGUGCAGGGAUAUAUGCACAUGGGUGGCCUGGGGAGGCCAGAAGAGGGCACUGGAUCCCAUGAAGCUAGAGUUACAAGCAGGCUUGGGAAAGGGUGCUGGCUGCCGAAUCUGAUGAGUGCUGCUAAGUUUGAUCCCAAGGACUUAUAUGGUGGAAGGAGAUAUCUGACUCCCGCAAUUCUCCUCUGGCCUCGACACUUGACUCAUAGCACACAUGUUCCUCCCUAGUAAAUGGAUGUUAUACAAAUAAAUGUUUUAAAAAG